rnacentral:rRNA from 1 species
UACAGAGGGUGCAAGCGUUGUUCGGAAUUAUUGGGCGUAAAGAGCUCGUAGGCGGUGUGUCACGUCGGCCGUGAAAACCUGCAGCUUAACUGUGGGCGUGCGGUCGAUACGGGCAUCACUGGAGUUCGGCAGGGGAGACUGGAAUCCCUGGUGUAGCGGUGAAAUGCGCAGAUAUCAGGAGGAACACCGGUGGCGGAAGGCGGGUCUCUGGGCCGAUGACUGACGCUGGAGGAAGCGAAAGCGUGGGGAGCAAACAGG